rnacentral:rRNA from 1 species
UACGUAGGGGGCAAGCGUUGUCCGGAAUCAUUGGGCGUAAAGAGCGCGUAGGCGGCCCUGUAAGUCCGCUGUGAAAGUCAAGGGCUCAACCCUUGAAUGCCGGUGGAUACUGCAGGGCUAGAGUCCGGAAGAGGCGAGUGGAAUUCUUGGUGUAGCGGUGAAAUGCGUAGAUAUCAAGAGGAACACCUGAGGUGAAGACGGGUUGCUGGGCUGACACUGACGCUGAGGCGCGAAAGCUAGGGUAGCAAACGGG